UACGUAGGGGGCUAGCGUUGUCCGGAUUUAUUGGGCGUAAAGAGCGUGUAGGCGGCCAUGUAGGUCCGGUGUGAAAACUCGAGGCUUAACCUCGAGAUGUCAUCGGAAACCAUUUGGCUAGAGUCCGGAAGAGGAGAGUGGAAUUCCAGGUGUAGCGGUGAAAUGCGCAGAUAUCAGGAGGAACACCGGUGGCGAAGGCGGAUCUCUGGGCCAUUACUGACGCUGAGGAGCGAAAGCGUGGGGAGCGAACAGG
rnacentral:rRNA from 1 species